rnacentral:rRNA from 1 species
UACGUAGGGUGCGAGCGUUGUCCGGAAUUAUUGGGCGUAAAGGGCUCGUAGGCGGUUUGUCACGUCGGGAGUGAAAACUCGGGGCUCAACCCCGAGCCUGCUUCCGAUACGGGCAGACUAGAGGUAUGCAGGGGAGAAUGGAAUUCCUGGUGUAGCGGUGAAAUGCGCAGAUAUCAGGAGGAACACCGGUGGCGAAGGCGGUUCUCUGGGCAUUACCUGACGCUGAGGAGCGAAAGUGUGGGGAGCGAGCCGG